GUGGCGGUCUGUUCAGCAAGACGUUGAAACCAUUGCUUCUGUUGUUGCUAAGUGGGUCGUACAGCGAGGGAAGGCCGUGGAGGUAGGUGAGCCGUGGGACAAAGUCAGCCCUGUCAGUCACCACUUCCAGCUAUGAUGCUCUAAGUCACAAUAAGUCUGAACACUUGCUGUCUAUGGAUCUGCUCUGACUCUUAGAGCCUGCUUAUGGGGGAAGCAUUCCAUCUUCUCUAGACAAGGAGGGUGGCCAUCUGUCUGGUAGCCGCAUCCAGCCAGCCCUU